rnacentral:rRNA from 1 species
ACGAACGCUGGCGGCGUGCUUCACCCCUGCAAGUCGCACGGAAAGGCCCUGCUUUUGUGGGGUUCUCGAGUGGCGAACGGGUGAGUAACACGUGAGUAACCUGCCCUUGACUUUGGGAUAACUUCAGGAAACUGGGGCUAAUACCGGAUAGGAGCUCCUGCUGCAUGGUGGGGGUUGGAAAGUUUCGGCGGUUGGGGAUGGACUCGCGGCUUAUCAGCUUGUUGGUGGGGUAGUGGCUUACCAAGGCUUUGACGGGUAGCCGGCCUGAGAGGGUGACCGGCCACAUUGGGACUGAGAUACGGCCCAGACUCCUACGGGAGGCAGCAGUGGGGAAUAUUGCACAAUGGGCGGAAGCCUGAUGCAGCAACGCCGCGUGCGGGAUGACGGCCUUCGGGUUGUAAACCGCUUUCGCCUGUGACGAAGCGUGAGUGACGGUAAUGGGUAAAGAAGCACCGGCUAACUACGUG